rnacentral:lncRNA from 1 species
AGAGGGCUUUACAAUUACAUGGAAGGGCAGUCAGUCCCUUCAUUAGGGUAUUCAGUAGUUUCCAAAGCCCUGUGUCAUGUCUCUUUAUCCAAGUUGCCAUUACGUAUCAUUGUCACGCAAUGAACAGGCCAGGCUUAGGACACUGGAUAAAGGUAAAUGUUGGGAAAGCCUUAAUGUCCCCUUCUGAAAGGCCCCCUCUUUCCAUAUUUAGUUUCUAAGUGACAUUCUUAAUAAGAGUUAACAAAUGACAGUCAAGCAGGAAGAGUAAUUUUCUAGUACCAAACCAAGGAAAUAAAAAACAGUGAAUUGGCUAUUACUUCUUAACAUACCUGUGAAUGUUAAGAAUCUUGGGUAAUCCAUGCUGUAGGAGUUCUACCUGAUUUUUCAGUUUGCCUUGAAAUGUCUUCAACAUAUUCCAGUCCAGUAUUUUGUGCAUUAACAAGUUAAGUUUUUGGAGUUCCCCCCCAUGACGGAGUGGGUUAAAAAUCUGAUUGCAGUGGCUCAGGUCACGGUAGAGCCCUGGGUUUGAUCCUCGGCAGUGAGUUAGGCUGUUGGUGCAGCUGUGGCGGAGGUGGCAGCUGGGGCUUGGAUGUGGUCCCUGGCCCAGGAACUUCCACAUGGCAUGGGGGUGGCCAAAAGAAAAGAAAGGAAAAGAAAAAGUUAAUUUUUUGACUGGAUUUAAUUGAGUAGUUUUGACUUCCUUAAUCCAGAAGUUUUAUUUUGACUGUGUUUCCAGAGAUACAGUUUAAUGAUGUAUGGAGGAAUAACAGUGAUGAGAAUGAUGGUGGGAUCCAGCAGUUGCAUCUUGUGAGAGCAGAAAUAGCUGAGAGAACGUGCAGAGGAUGAGGGAGGGAGGUGCUUGGAAAUGUGUCGUAUUUGCGGUUGGAGCGUAUUUUCAGAUAGUGCUCCAUCACUGGAGGAAGAGGAUUGAGAAUGCUCUGCCAGUUAGUAUUUUACGAGAACCUUCUUUGACCUGAAGGCAUUUUCCCUGGGGAGGGGAUGAGUGAUUUGUCAUCAGUGGAAGGAUGUAGGAAGCAAAAGCUGCAUGCAUGUCUUUUCCGUGGAGUUACUAUUUCCACCCAUCGUGACUGAUUCUUGCCACCACAUGCAUGUUCAGGCACAUUCCUAGUAGAGAUUUGAUAUUUGUGGGCAGCCACUAGUAGGAGAAGGAAAGAAGAGAAAGGGAUGGCAAGUGACAAAGCACAGAGCUUUGGUUAAUAGGCUUUCACUGGGGCACAAUUUAGCGGCUGCGCCUCCACAGCCUCUAUUAUGAAAACCGUUCUGAUAAUACCGACUGUGUCUAUAACUCUCUUCUAUGUAUCUGGAAAUAUGGAGAAUCAACCUUUGAACAUGCCUCAAGGAACAAUGGAACACACUUAGAAUACAGCCUAUGACAAGUUUGUCAUUUCUCAUGCCAGCCAUUUCUGUACAUUUGUCACUUUUGGAGGCCGGGGUGACAGAAUGCCAGCCUUGGCUCGUGUGUACGAGGCAUUUAAACCAUGUCAUGUCUCACCAGGUUGGAGAACAGGUCCUUCUUCCUUCCUCCCUUCAGAACUCGGCUCUCAAGUGGGUGCCCUUUUCAGCUCCUGGGGUGCAGGGGCCUUUUCUGGGUCCCUCCUGGCCAUCUGCCCGGAGGCGGGGACAGUGUUUGCAUCGCAGGUGUGCAGGAAAUACUUGUGCAAUGAAGAGAUAGGCUGGAAUCCUCUCUGUUCUCACCUCCAGUGGAAAUCCCACUCACCUUUAGGGGCAGGGCAGCCUCGCCUUCUCCGGAGUCUCAGCUCACAAUGCACCCUUUGAGUGUCAGCUGUUUCUGCCACACACUUUGGCAUUUAAUCUCUUGCAGCUUUAUAUUGUCGCCUGAGUGUUCCCCGUGUUUUGUUUCCCCACCCCAAAUACAGGCAGCUCGGAGGCAGGGAAGAUUCCUUCGUGCUGGCCUGUGUUUGAGAACUUCCUUGGUCAUCCAGUAUACUAACAUACACAGAGUAGGCUUCUUUUUACCUGUUGAGUGAAUAUUAGCUACUGUGGGAGAGCAUCAGGAAUGUUCACAAUGUGGUCCCCAUCCUCGAGUAGGUAGCAUUUUAGUUGGGCAGCCAUGGUGUACCCACGGGGAACAGUAUGAGAAUUUGGCGUUAAGUAAAGCAAAUACUAAUAGCUAACGUUUGUGUUGUGCGUAAAAUCUGCCUGACACUGUCUCCAGUGCCUUUACAACGUUAGUUUAUUUGAACCUCCUGACAACCCUUUGACACAGAUGCAGUUAUAAUCCUGUUUUACAAAUGAGGAGACAGAGACACAGCGAGGUCAUGAAGUCACCUGCCCAUGACCACAAGGCGAGUAGCAAGGAGGGAGACGGGAUGUGAACCCAGGCAGCCUGGCACUUGAGUCAGAGUGGGUCCCCUGGUUCGGGGGGCAGUUACCUUGUCCGAGAUGGGAGAGAGAUCUAAAGGUUGCCCCAACUUUUCUUUUUCAAAUAUCAAAGUCGUGUACACCAUGGCAGUGACUGAGCUGCAGCAACUGUACUGGAUUCUUCAGGUGGAAGAGGUUGAUUAUGACACGGUGGUGGGGACACUGGAUUUUGAAAUGACUGAGGGCAAGAGGGAAGCAGCUGAGUUGGGAACCUCACAGCUGAGUGGGGAGUAGGACUCUGGGUAUUGAAUUCUAGGACAGUGAUUCACCAGGACACAGGGCAAGGAUCGUUCAAGUUCUAACUCAGUGCCAAGUAACUCCUUCUGCACUAUUAAACAAUGUUGAAUGACACUCUUUAACCACUUUUCCAUUUUAAACACUUUUAAACCCGGAGUGGGUGUAAUUUACCAGGACGGGAGCAGUAUGGAAGGCUUCCUGUGCCUGGCAGCCCUCAUGUGGAAUCUUGACCCACUUUUUCAGCCUGUCUUGGACAGUAAGAACACUCUUGGGGCCGGGAGACCUCUUCAAACCAAGUCAUGUUUCUCAGUGGGGAAAGAAAAAAAACCAAAACAACGUAAAAUGGUGCUGUUGACUGGGUGACACACCUGAGGUGAAGUCACUUUGAGUUGGACGAGGGCCUCCAGACAUAAUCCAGCCAGAUGAAGACAGAUGGCCUUCCCUGAAAGCCCAGUUUUGUGUCCCUUUUGGUCGGGAGCUGACAGUGUUCUUUGGGGGGUGUUGGGCCUCAACAGAAUCCGCUGAAUCCAAAUGACUCGGCAGAUAGGGAAGCACACACAUCAGCACAGCCGCUGUCCAGGAACCGGAGGAGGACGUGCCCUCGAGUGACGUGUGGGCCACCGCCCUGGUCAGCAGCCAGGGAGGGCCCUCAUUCUGCAGGCGUCUUACCUUGGGAACAGCACAGUUUGGCUUCCAUGUCAUCUUUGAGUUUGAGAGAACCCUAGUUUCAGCGUGUCCUCAGUAGAGACCAAAGAACCAGGAGGAGACCUCCCAGCUUCCCCAGAUUGGGAAGAAAAAUAUGGAAUGUGUGUUACCGCUGACUGAACACAACCCAAUGAACUGUCCUGACAGUAGUUUGCAAACCAGCAGUUAGCAGUUUGUCCAGCUCAACACUGUCCAGCACUUUCCAGAGCAGACGCACUGUUUACAAGAACUCGCCGCAUCACGACGACGUUCGGAACCUCAGGCUCUGUUGAUUUCAGAUAUUUCUGCUGAAGAAACGCACCCCGUGGCCCACUUUCCAAAAUGGCCACGGAGGAGUAUCUGUGGAUGGUCAUUUUGGGAUUUAUCAUAGCGUUUAUCUUGGCGUUUUCCGUGGGUGCCAACGACGUGGCCAACUCGUUUGGCACCGCUGUGGGCUCGGGCGUGGUGACCUUGAGGCAGGCCUGCAUCCUGGCUUCCAUAUUUGAAACCACCGGCUCAGUGUUGCUGGGGGCCAAGGUCGGAGAGACCAUCCGGAAAGGUAUCAUCGACGUGAACUUGUACAACGACACCGUGGAGACGCUCAUGGCCGGGGAGGUCAGUGCCAUGGUCGGUAAGUAGCCUCAUCUGCUGACCCACUCCCCUCUCCCCGCUCCCACCCCCGGCCUCUGGUCAUAUCCAUAAGUGUGAAUUUUUUUUUUUUUUUUUUUUUUGCUUUAAAUUUUCAAAAACUUGUUCUCUGUUUCUCUUUUUAAUUGAAGGAUAGGUGACUUACUUUUUUAUUGAAUUAUAUAGUUGGUUUGCAGUGUUGUGUUAGUUUCAGGUGUACAACAGAGUGAUUCAGUUAUAUAUGUGUAUAUACAUAUACAUACCCCUGUCUUUUUCAGACUUAUUUCUUAUCUACUGUAUCUUAAAUUUUUGCUUUCUGUGUUUUAAUUUGGGUAUGAUUUUGCUCAGUGUUCAAAUAUCAAGCAACCAUUUCUUUUCUUGAAUGUGUAGCAAACUUGCAUGUUAAAGUAGAUUUUGGCCGAGUCGGUACUUUAUGAAAAGUACAGAGAAAGGUAUUUGUAGCAUAGCUCUUUUGUUUUGUUUUCUUGGGCUGCACCAAGGCAUGCAGAAGUUUCUGGGCCAGGGAUUGAACCUGAGCCAUAGAAGUGACAGCGCCUCUACCUGCUGAGCCACUAGGAAACUCCCAUCUUUGUCAUUUUAAAGUUGUUUGAAUGUUAUUGAAGGAAGACCAUGUUGGGGAUUCCCACUGUGGCACAGCAGGUUGAGAACUAGUACCUCUGAAGAUUCAGGUUCGAUCCCUGGCCUCACUUAGUGGGUUAAGGAUCCGGCAUUGCCAUGAGCUGUGGUGUAGGUUGCAGAUGUGGCUCAGAUCUGGUGUUGCUGUGGCUGUGGUGUAGGCCAGCAGCUGCAGCUCCAAUUUGACCCCUAGCCCGGCAACCUCCAUAUGCCCUGGCUGUGGCCCUAAAAAAAAAUUAAAAUUAAAAAAUAUAUUAAAAAAAAAACAAAGAAAGAAUAUGCCUAACAGAAUGUGUUUGAAAGGUCUGCUUAGGAGAUUUCCUUGCAGAUCUACUUCUAUUUUUUCAUGGAUUUUUUAUCAGUUAGAAUGAGACGUUUUAAAACCUUGGCUGCCCCAAACAGUAGCUUAACUUUUGUGUUCUCGAUUUAAGUUGUAGAGCAGUUACCAAAUGAAUCUUAUGUGCUUAUGCUUUGAGAAAUUCUGGUCUUUUCUGUCAUUUGUCAUUCUUUUGUUGGCUUUUCUAAUUCCAUCUAUGGGAGCUCCACUUGGGGGACACUUGCUUUCUGGCCUGAAGGUCACUUGUUUGUCAGCUGUUCACAGGAGGACCUCUUGUUGGUUAGUGUCACAUCGUAUGGAUGCCAGGAGGGUGUGGAGAGCGGUGGCUGCAUCAGUAAGUGGAUCGUCUGGUUGGACAUGUGGUUUCUCCACUGCCCCAGGUGCCCACAGAUUUGCAGCUCCGUGGGCACUGCUUCAUUUGAGCAGCGUGCCUUACUUAGGUGCAGCUGACAGGACCCUCCUUUGCUUGCCUCUGGGUCCAGGUGACACUUAGCAGAUGGCAGGUGUACAGGGAGUUGGGGGGUAGGGUGGGGAGAAGGAUCCUGCCUCCUCUGCUUUCGAGAGGGCACCUGCUUUUGUGGAGACAGCCCUACAGUGGGAGGCCGGGCGCUGGUCUUAAAACACAGCUACGUCCCACGGGUCCCCAGUGAUAGCCCUUCUUAAACACCCAGGAUGUGCAGAGGAUUUAAGACGGCUCAUCAUCUUUUCAUUACUGCAGGUGUUUCGGCAGUUGUUGAGGCCUUUGGGAGCAGACUGGUGUCCUCAGUAAGGGAUUAAAUACCACUCGGCAUGGUCGGCUGCUCACGGGUGCCAAAGAGUUCCUCUUACUCAGCUUCACAUUUUGUGUUUGAAAGAUGGAAGGUUUCAUUGUAGGUUGAAGACUUGGCUCUGGCGUUGCUGUGGCUUAGGCUGGCAGCCACAGCUCCAGUUCGACCUCUAGCCCGGGAACUUCCAUAUGCCUCCGGGGCGGCCCUGAAAAGACUAAAAAGUUGAAAAAAAGGAAGAUUCAUGAUUGUUUUAAUUAAUGUAUGUUUAAUUUUUAAAUUUUUUGGCUACAACAUGCAAGGGCUUGAUGUGGGAUCCCAGUUGCCAGACCAGGGCUUGAACCCAGGCUGAGGCAGUGAAUGUGCUGAGUCCUAACCACUAGACCACCAGGGAACUCCCAAUAUUUAUGUUUAAGAAUUAAAAAUCAUGGCGUUCCCAUUGUGGCGUAGUGAAUUACCCGGCAUAGUGUCUGUGAUGAUGCAGGUUCGAUCUCUGGCCUCACUCAGUGGGUUAAAGAUCUGGCAUUGCCACAAGCUGCAGUGUGGGUCACAGAUCUGGCUUGGAUCUGGCAUUGCUGUGGCUGUGGUGUAGCCCUCAGCUAUAGCUCGGAUUCAACCCCUAGCCUGGGAAAUUCCAUAUGUCACAAGUGCAGCCAUAAAGUUUAAAAAAAAAAAAAUUCAAAAUCAUUUACUACAACAGCUAUUGUAAUUACUGAAUUUACUCACCUUCACUGAAUGUACACUUUCCAUCUUAGUCAGAUAGCAUUGAUGUUUCCCCUAGAAAAAUAAGUUACUUAUAAAAUUCACC